rnacentral:rRNA from 1 species
AUGAACGCUGGCGGCGUGCCUAAUACAUGCAAGUCGAACGAGUUCUCGUUGAUGAUCGGUGCUUGCACCGAGAUUCAACAUGGAACGAGUGGCGGACGGGUGAGUAACACGUGGGUAACCUGCCCUUAAGUGGGGGAUAACAUUUGGAAACAGAUGCUAAUACCGCAUAGAUCCAAGAACCGCAUGGUUCUUGGCUGAAAGAUGGCGUAAGCUAUCGCUUUUGGAUGGACCCGCGGCGUAUUAGCUAGUUGGUGAGGUAAUGGCUCACCAAGGCGAUGAUACGUAGCCGAACUGAGAGGUUGAUCGGCCACAUUGGGACUGAGACACGGCCCAAACUCCUACGGGAGGCAGCAGUAGGGAAUCUUCCACAAUGGACGCAAGUCUGAUGGAGCAACGCCGCGUGAGUGAAGAAGGCUUUCGGGUCGUAAAACUCUGUUGUUGGAGAAGAAUGGUCGGCAGAGUAACUGUUGUCGGCGUGACGGUAUCCAACCAGAAAGCCACGGCUAACUACGUGCCAGCAGCCGCGGUAAUACGUAGGUGGCAAGCGUUGUCCGGAUUUAUUGGGCGUAAAGCGAGCGCAGGCGGUUUUUUAAGUCUGAUGUGAAAGCCCUCGGCUUAACCGAGGAAGCGCAUCGGAAACUGGGAAACUUGAGUGCAGAAGAGGACAGUGGAACUCCAUGUGUAGCGGUGAAAUGCGUAGAUAUAUGGAAGAACACCAGUGGCGAAGGCGGCUGUCUGGUCUGUAACUGACGCUGAGGCUCGAAAGCAUGGGUAGCGAACAGGAUUAGAUACCCUGGUAGUCCAUGCCGUAAACGAUGAAUGCUAGGUGUUGGAGGGUUUCCGCUCUUCAGUGCCGCAGCUAACGCAUUAAGCAUUCCGCCUGGGGAGUACGACCGCAAGGUUGAAACUCAAAGGAAUUGACGGGGGCCCGCACAAGCGGUGGAGCAUGUGGUUUAAUUCGAAGCAACGCGAAGAACCUUACCAGGUCUUGACAUCUUUUGAUCACCUGAGAGAUCAGGUUUCCCCUUCGGGGGCAAAAUGACAGGUGGUGCAUGGUUGUCGUCAGCUCGUGUCGUGAGAUGUUGGGUUAAGUCCCGCAACGAGCGCAACCCUUAUGACUAGUUGCCAGCAUUUAGUUGGGCACUCUAGUAAGACUGCCGGUGACAAACCGGAGGAAGGUGGGGAUGACGUCAAAUCAUCAUGCCCCUUAUGACCUGGGCUACACACGUGCUACAAUGGAUGGUACAACGAGUUGCGAGACCGCGAGGUCAAGCUAAUCUCUUAAAGCCAUUCUCAGUUCGGACUGUAGGCUGCAACUCGCCUACACGAAGUCGGAAUCGCUAGUAAUCGCGGAUCAGCACGCCGCGGUGAAUACGUUCCCGGGCCUUGUACACACCGCCCGUCACACCAUGAGAGUUUGUAACACCCGAAGCCGGUGGCGUAACCCUUUUAGGGAGCGAGCCGUCUAAGGUGGGACAAAUGAUUAGGGUG